rnacentral:rRNA from 1 species
UACGUAGGGGCCGAGCGUUGUCCGGAGUUACUGGGCGUAAAGCGCGCGCAGGCGGCCGCCCGCGCCCGCCGUGAAAGCCCCCGGCUCAACCCGGGGAGGGUCGGCGGGGACGGGGCGGCUUGAGGACGGCAGGGGCCGGUGGAAUCCCCGGUGUAGUGGUGAAAUGCGUAGAGAUCGGGGGGAACACCCGUGGCGAAGGCGGGCCGGCUGGGCCGUUCCUGACGCUGAGGCGCGAAGGCGUGGGGAGCGAACGGG